AUUGAACGCUGGCGGCAGGCUUAACACAUGCAAGUCGAGCGGGGUGAUGGUGCUUGCACUAUCACUUAGCGGCGGACGGGUGAGUAAUGCUUAGGAAUCUGCCUAUUAGUGGGGGACAACAUCUCGAAAGGGAUGCUAAUACCGCAUACGUCCUACGGGAGAAAGCAGGGGAUCACUUGUGACCUUGCGCUAAUAGAUGAGCCUAAGUCGGAUUAGGUAGUUGGUGGGGUAAAGGCCUACCAAGGCGACGAUCUGUAGCGGGUCUGAGAGGAUGAUCGGCCACACUGGGACUGAGACACGGCCCAGACUCCGACGGGAGGCAGCAGUGGGGAAUAUUGGACAAUGGGGGGAACCCGGAUCCAGCCAUGCCGCGUGUGUGAAGAAGGCCUUAUGGUUGUAAAGCACUUUAAGCGAGGAGGAGGCUCUUUUGGUUAAUACCCAAGAUAAGUGGACGUUACUCGCAGAAUAAGCACCGGCUAACUCUGUGCCAGCCGCCGCGGUAACAC
rnacentral:rRNA from 1 species